UACGUAGGGUGCGAGCGUUGUCCGGAAUUAUUGGGCGUAAAGAGCUCGUAGGCGGUGUGUCGCGUCGGCCGUGAAAACCUGGGGCUUAACUCUGGGCGUGCGGUCGAUACGGGCAUCACUAGAGUUCGGCAGGGGAGACUGGAAUUCCUGGUGUAGCGGUGAAAUGCGCAGAUAUCAGGAGGAAUACCGGUGGUGUAGACGGCUCUCUGGACCGCCACUGACGCUGAGACACGAAAGCGUGGGUAGCAAACAGG
rnacentral:rRNA from 1 species